rnacentral:rRNA from 1 species
UGCAAACUGCGAAUACCGGAGAAUGUUAUCACGGGAGACACACGGCGGGUGCUAACGUCCGUCGUGAAGAGGGAAACAACCCAGACCGCCAGCUAAGGUCCCAAAGUCAUGGUUAAGUGGGAAACGAUGUGGGAAGGCCCAGACAGCCAGGAUGUUGGCUUAGAAGCAGCCAUCAUUUAAAGAAAGCGUAAUAGCUCACUGGUCGAGUCGGCCUGCGCGGAAGAUGUAACGGGGCUAAACCAUGCACCGAAGCUGCGGCAGCGACGCUGAUGCGUUGUUGGGUAGGGGAGCGUUCUGUAAGCCUGCGAAGGUGUGCUGUGAGGCAUGCUGGAGGUAUCAGAAGUGCGAAUGCUGACAUAAGUAACGAUAAAGCGGGUGAAAAGCCCGCUCGCCGGAAGACCAAGGGUUCCUGUCCAACGUUAAUCGGGGCAGGGUGAGUCGACCCCUAAGGCGAGGCCGAAAGGCGUAGUCGAUGGGAAACAGGUUAAUAUUCCUGUACUUGGUGUUACUGCGAAGGGGGGACGGAGAAGGCUAUGUUGGCCGGGCGACGGUUGUCCCGGUUUAAGCGUGUAGGCUGGUUUUCCAGGCAAAUCCGGA